GUAUUUAUUUAUUUAUUUCCCUUUAAAACCCUAAAAUUCGGCGGUGUGUUUUUUGGUUUCCCAACUUGACAAGGGGACUGAUAAAUUCUUCCUUAAACCCUAAAAUCGUUAGUGUGAGAGGGCGAUGAAGACGAUCACCGGAAAUGUGGUUUCUUCGAAGCCAAUCUCCCUUUCCAAAGCGGCGUCCACUCUCUCCUCCUUUCUCUCCGUCGAUAAUGGCGCUUCGAAAGCGCUCUGUGCCUACCUGAGACGCGCCUCCACCUCCUUCAACGAGUUAAAGCAGCUUCAUAAGGACCUCAAGUCUUCGCGGUCCGAUCGGAAUCCCCGACAUCACGGAUUCGAGGUUUCAAGUGGUUUAGAGGCGGCUGUAGAUAGUUCACAUCGGAUUGAAAACGGUGAGAGAAUCAAAUCUUCUGUAUCUGAGAGCAGAAGCGGGAAGAAGCGGCGGGAGAGUAGGGAUCGGAAUGAGAACGAGCAGGAUGGGAAAACAGCAAUGGCAAGCGGUGGGAAUGGUGAUUUUGAGGAUGUAGUGGGUGAAGAUGGAAAGAGAAGGAGCGACGAAUUGAGGACUGAAAUUGAAGAAAAACCUAGCCGAAGAGUCGAGGUCGAUGUGAAAUCCAGCGAUAGAGAUGAGAGCGUUGUAGGAAUUGAGAAGAAAAAAAAGCACAAGAAAAAGAGCAAGGAUGGAGAAGAUGAACGUGAUGCUGAAGUCGGGCAAAGUUACGGUAAAUCGCAAACUAGUGCUAAUAAUGGCGAGACUGAAGCUUCUGAAGAUUUCAUUGAGAACAAUGUAGGAAGGGGAAAAGAUAGAAAGAAGCAUAAGGACAAGAAUAAUUUGGGGGAUGAAAAGAGGACAAAGAAGGACAAUGAUGAUGAAACAGGUCUUGUGGAGCUGUCGACUAAGGAUAAGAAGAAGAAGAAGAAGAAGAAGAAGAACAGAGAAGAAGAUGAUGACGAUCUUCAAAAUAACAGUGGUGGGGCUAUAGAGAAAGAGAAAAUGCCAGUUUCGGAUAGCCAAGAACUGAAAAGGAAAGAAAGUAAGAAGAGGAAAAAUGGAGACUUGGAAGAAGGGGUCGAUGAUGGUUCAGAGGAGCAGCAGGGUACAAAGAGAAGGAAAAGAAAGUCAUGAGACAAGCAAGGAUGAACUUGUAACUCAUUAUUUGUUAGGAGUUGAUGAAGUCCCUGUAUUGGAAGAUUCCAUGUGCUCACAGCUUAUUGGAAAAAGUCUGUUUACUAAUUGCUACCAAUGAGGAGCCCAUUGAUCUCCGAUGUUUAUUGCAAGAAGCAAGCAACAACUGCGUGGAAGGCAGCUGCUAUAUGCAAAGAAAACGUCGAAGCUACAUGAUUUGAUGCAUAUUUAUAGUAUUGCAUCAGGUAACUCUCAGCUGUUAUGAAAAUUGUUUUGAGUUAAUGAUAAAAGCUAAUGUAUUCCUAUUCGAUCAAGAGAUGGAUCAGCCUGCAUUGCCCAAAUGGUUUUGUGCUUGUAUCUCAUUAUGAAACCUGUUGUUCUUUGAGUCAUCUGUCGCCGACCAACAAGUAUACCAUGGAGUGUUUGCCCCUCCUUUAUCUAGUGGUGCCCAUCUGUAGCAAAGCUAACUAGACCUUUUACGGCCCAAGCCUUACCGCUAGUAGAUAUGUCUCUUUUGGGUUUCCCUUUCAGGCUUCCCUUCACGGUUUUAAAACGCGUUUAUUAGGGAGUUUUUGGGUUUCAAAAUAAUUCAAAAACUGAUAAACGGCGGUCCUUUUGUCAAUAGGAAUAGAACUGGAAGUUCACGUAGUCUAAUUGGUUGUGUUCAUAAUCCAUACUGGAUGUGUUCAUAAUCCAUACAGGAUAGGACUCCUACCUUCCCAAGAUUUAGGGGAUUUGGGGUUGAAGUAUGCAAGUUCUUUGCCUACUGUAUCACCCUCGAGACUGAUUGCGAACUUGAACGUUCGAAUCCUGGGCUUUGAUCGAAGAAACAGAAGUAUCGCUCAUAAAUUUCAAACUUUCUCGAAUGACUUCUCAUUAUUAGCAAUCGGCUGUGGUUUGCGAGGCCGAAGAACAAAUCGUCACUAGUGAUGUGUUGCAUCUUUUUUGGCUCUAAUUACAGCUUCUA